rnacentral:lncRNA from 1 species
CAGGUACACGAGUCAUCAAUUAGUCAAAAGAAGGGGAUAAAGGCAAAGGCAUGGUCCUUUAUAUUUUUGGACAAAGCUUUGUUUACUGGAGAGGAAAGAUGCUGUGUUUAACCUUGUAACUAUUUACUGUCAAAAAUAUAUGAUUACUUGCAUAAUUACCUCAUAAUUCUAUCAUACUGACACAUAAACCUUGUUGAUGUUCAACUUGACUUUUUGGUCUACUUGGCAUUGUUCUCAUAUCUUCUUUUUUUUCUAUAUUUCUUCCAACCUUCAGAAGUUCAUAUGUUUUUGUUCUGGUUUGGGGCAGACCACUGUUCCUGAUGUCUUGGUACUACUUGACAUCAGCCUUUUUUAAGAGUUGCUCUGUUCCUUGGGAACCUGCUGUCUAAGUGGUCUUCAAGGUGGUGGUGAAGCAAUAUCUUUACAUUGUUUUCUGGGUGAAACUGAUUUUUUCCCAGUUGCAUGGAAUGUGAUCUUCAUUCUUAUACGAAUCCAUUUUCUUAGUGCUGGUUCAUCUGCCGAUAGAAAUCCUCGUGGUCAAAGAUAUACGUCUUCUCUCCACUUUCCAAGGUAAGCUAGAAAUAGAUUGAAAUUAUGUCAACUGUUAAUUCACAUAAAAAAUGUCAACACUUGCCUUUGUAACUCUAAGAUUUGUUUUAAGGUGCGAUAACCUUUGAUUGUUCAGUUGGGAGCCAGCAGGAUCAAAGUUGGCUGCAUGUUCUUUGUAUCUAUGCUGACUGCUCUUAUUUGCAAUUCCUCUUCAUUUCUCCUUUCUUCAAGAUAUAGAAUAUAGUUCACUUGGUAUAAAUGAUAUGAUUCUGAAACAUGGUAAUGGAGAUUGCUUUAUCCUCUGAUGAUAUUUGUAAGUCGAUAUUCCAUCCUGGCCAUUUCGUAUAUGGUUCAAUUCAGUUCUCCCCGUGUCAACAGUUCUGUUUGGUUGAUUCCUUCUUUAAAUACAUUAUAUAUAUUCUGAGGGUUACAGAGGAUGUUCCUGUUGCUAGAUUUGAAGAACCUGUAGCAGAUAUCUAUAUGAUUAAUCAGCUUCAUUUGCUGUUGACAGCAAAAACAGUUUCAUUGCAGAAUCUCUCUUUCCAAAGACAGCAAAACUUAUUUGAUUCAUUUGCCAAUGAUCUUUCUUGACACAAUUAAGGGUGUAAUUAGUGUGUUUCGUGCAGUCUUUUAUUUAGUUGGCUCUCAUUUCAGCAGUUGAUUUCCAUUUGAGGACAAGUUUCAGAGUUUAUGGAUGUUCAGAUCCUCUGCUUUGUAGUAUUUGCUUUGGGAGCAACCCCACCCACGUCGAAUUCCUAAUAAGAAGUUUUGUCAUGACAAAUUUACAUUGGACACAGUGGGAGGCUUGCAAAGCAUUUAUUUUUUGGACAACAAAUGCAUACGAGUGAAAUCUUAAUAUCAGGUAGUGACCUCAUUUCCUUAGCAAUCUUCUCAAACCUAGUUAUGACUAUGAAGUGGCUUAAACUACCAUUGGGGUUUUGUUUCUCUAUCUAGAUUAUGAAAUACCACAGCUCUUAUCACUAGAUGGAUUUCAAGAAAGUCAACAAAGGUGGAGAAUUCAGUGAAAAAAGGCUGUCUUUAGGAAUAUAUGUUACAAGGUCCGAAAGGUUUGUGUCGGGAACCCACCCAAUUCAUAGAAAUAGAAGGAUGGCAGCCAUUAACUCCUCAUUCCUUGACACGAAGACCGAGGUAGGGGGAAAAAAUCAACUGGUGGUCAAAUAGAGUGAAAUUGGGUAUUUUCCCAGUAAUUAAUUCCGUAACUGCAUUCUCAACAUAGAAGAAAAUAAUUCUUGGCUUGCUUAUGAAGAAAUUGGCAUUAACAAGACAACUUGUUGUCCCAAAAAAACAAGCAAAAGCUACCAAGAUGCAGGACAGAACUAUGUAUUUGAUGUUAUGAGAUAACAAUGACUUUUGUUUCCACUUUAUAUCUUCUUAGAGACAAAAUGCUUUGUUAAUCCAUGCAUAAGAAUAUAUCUGCACAAUAAUUUAUUUGGACAUACAGUAGCCGUAGCAGGAAAUUUUGUCCACAAAAUCCAGUGCAACUGCCCCCACUUGGCCUCAAGGGCAGCUCUGCCUCAGGUUGAGAAACAGGCUCUGGAGAUGUGUAAGAAAAGUGAUAUCUGUUACUUCCACACUUGAAGAUGCUUCAUAACUUUCCAGUAACUUCAGUUUGGUGGCUGUCCAAACAUGCUUACAUGUGUAUGUUAAAUAUUGCUUGUGGAAAAGCUUUACAAUUUAGAGUACUGCUGUCACCAAGGUGUUUAUGUUUGCAGCUAAUGUGGACUCUUUUGCAGCCUACUGAUAACUGAUAAAUUUUCUGUUAGCUAUGAAUUAUUCAUGCCAACAUUGUGAGAUAUGGUGGCACCUGGAGUCCCAAUCUAAGCUGUUUUGAUUCAUAUCUAGUGGCUGCAUCAGAUGAUACUGACUGUAGGAGGCUUGAAUCUUAUCGGUGCUAGUGGUAUUUAUUGCAUUAACCCUACUGAAAUAAUAUUUUCUUGUGUUGUAUCUGAGUACACACAGCAUGGUUAGUUAUAUUAAUUGCUCAGCUUAUACUAACUAUAACCAGCACCAUCCAAGCAUGGGAUCAGGGACACAAGUAGUACAUGACUGACCUCAUCAACUUUAUCUUGAGCAAAGGUUUAAUUACUCACCAUUAGAAAAAGGGACAAAGUUAGUGUCCUGGGUGUUGACCUUGGGUACCAGCAUCAAGUCCUAAGCUUUCUUUACUGAAGAAGAAAGAGGCAUUUGACCCUGGGACCAUGUAAGCUGUUUGCUACAUAAUAAGCAAUUGUGAGGAAACAUGCUCAUUAUUGCUCUGACAUACGAGCUCCAAGCAUCUCUGAGAACUGUCCAAACCAACAAAAGGAAACUAAAGUGCCUCUGUAAAGCACUAUCUGAAUCACAUUCAAAUCAAUAAUUGUAUUACAUUGAUGACGACUGGCAAAUACGAGGUUACUAAAGGUGUUUGGUACGCAGUUUUGUUUGCAUCAAAGUCUGUUAAAUUUAGUUCAUAAUCUGUCUAACUUAAGCAGUGAACUCAAUGCUAAAGUGCCUCAUGCCUCACUCCAACGGCUGCAUUUUUCUGCUCUUUUCUCGUGAAAUUUGAUAUUCGUUGGUAGAAGUAUGAAAUAUCAGGUAUGAUGGGAUAUCUUGCAGUGAGAUUAAAGUUUAGAUAUCUAUUGCAUGGAUUGAAGAUUGCACUUCAGAUAAUAAUACUUUAGUAGUUCCUUGCCCUUUUGCAUUUUGAUCAAAAUUAUGCUGAAGUUUUAUAGUGAGGAUGAAAUGCUGAAAGAUAAGCAAUUUAUUUAUGACAUGUUAAAGCCAUUGGUUACUGAUAUAUAUGAUAUUAUGAUAAAACUGGAUCAAGACGUGGUCAAUAGCGUCUGGGUGGUGGUAUGGUUACAGUUAACGUUUCAUUCUACAGAGCGUCGUUCUUUGAGGUGAGUGGUUAUCGAUCUUCCUUUUCUUUAGAUUCCAUAUCUAACUCCUUUUCUUCUGUUUUUAGUUUUGCAGAAUGUAUUAUUUUUUCCCCAUUACUAUUUUGUGUUCAUCGGAAAUGGUACCGUCUAGUUAUGAUUAUUUAAUAGACCUAUAACUGUGGUUUAAUUGUUUUCAAUUUGCAAUUUGGGUUCUUAACUUGUUGGUAAAUUUGUCUAAUUGUGUUUUGCGAGAAGCCUAAGAUUGGAUUGUAGUUGAGGGAGGACUGUGCUGGUCGUCUGAGGUGACCUCAUACAUGACGAUAAUAGAAAUGUCUCUUGGCUGGAGGUUGAUGAAACUCUUAUUCUUGGGUAUGUUACUUGAUUCAAUUGAGAUUCAAAUGUGGUCUUUUAUGGAAAAUAAGUUGUCCCAGUUCUUUUAUGUUAUAUUUAGUUCCUCUACCAUCGUGAUAUGUUUUAGUUUAACACAGUUUCCAAAGAAAUUUAUUUUGUAAGGCACUUGAUAGGAAAUGCCUUAGGUGUUGAAGUGGAUUUCUUAUCUUUAUCAUCAGGUCGAAAGUGUGGAAUAUGUAUGUACUUUCAUGAUAAUGUUGGGUGCAAUAUCAUGAAUACAAAUAGCUAUCUGUAUCUUGAUGGUACAUGUAGGAAAUUGAAGCUUGGAAGUAUUCUACCUGGUGAUUAACAAGAUUGUUAUGUAAUGUGAGUGAAGUAGUUGCAGCUAUGCUACAAACGUAGUUUUUGAAAUGUCUUUGUUUGGUACUUAAUUAUGUGAAUUUAAUUAGUCUUCCUGAUUAUCAUAAAUGAUUUUAUUUCCCUCUUGCAUUUUUGGUUCAUAGUCAAAUGCUGCCUAGAUCCCAAAGAAAUAUAAGGAGUUGGUAGAAUUAUAAAGGAAUGCUUGGAACUACUAUCAUUUUACCAAUAUUUUCCCUCCAUUUCACAAUUCUCUCAGUUUUAGAAUCUCUCUUUUCAUAAUAAUUUGAAUAUUUGCUUAGCAUAAUUUUUUGCAAGUGUUUAUAAACAGAUGAAAAUGAGUAAUAGAUAGUACUUAUAGGUCUUACGAAAUAUGCACUAUUAUACCCAUGUAGUAUGUUUGUAGAACUCCACUUAGAGUUCCCACGCAGGUUAUGUAGGGUUGAUUGCCAACUAGUUUUAGUAGUUGAGAUAUCAACAAAGAAAGAAAAUGUAGAGGGGAAAGAUUUAACAUAGUUUAUGGAUAGUGGCUGUAAUUCAAUGGUUUGGUGUUAGGAUGCAUGUUGCAUUGUUGCUUCAUUCUGUGUCGGUUUUGGUCUAGGUAGUAGACUCUUUUAACUCCGCCUAUGUUGCAUGUUCGCUUGAUACAGCCGGUCCCAAGCGCGAUAAAAGAGGAGGGAUGAGCUGACAUAUGGUGCAGUUGCCAAAUGGAUAAAGAUCUCGUGUGGAGUAUUUUUAAUGUUCUCACGUCUCGAUUUAGUCAUUUCGAGUAUGUGAUUGAUUCUGCAAUUAAUAGUUUUCUUAUACUCAUCUCCUUUUUUGAUUGCACAUAUUUUCUCAAUGAUCGGAUUGGUUAUAUGGUUAUAUCGUUUGGAUUCAUG